ACUACGCCGGUAAAGCACAAAUCCGCACACGUAUCGACACGUCUUCCUGGGUGCCCGCAAGGGUUGGAGGGCGGGAUGCGUGGAGGCCUAACC
rnacentral:sRNA from 1 species